rnacentral:rRNA from 1 species
UACGAGGGGGGCGAGCGUUGUUCGGAAUUAUUGGGCGUAAAGGGUGCGUAGGCGGUUUGGUAAGUCUCGUGUGAAAUCUACAGGCUCAACUUGUAGUCUGCACGAGAAACUGCCGGGCUUGAGUGUGGGAGAGGUGAGUGGAAUUCCCGGUGUAGCGGUGAAAUGCAUAGAUAUGUCACAGAACACCAAUUGCGAAGGCAGCUUACUAAAGUAUGAUUGACGCUGAGGCACGAAAGCGUGGGGAUCAAACAGG